CUAUAGCGAGCGGGUACCACCUGAUCCCAUAUCGAACUCAGAAGUGAAACCGCUUAGCGCCGAUGAUAGUGUGGGAGGUCCCAUGUGAAAGUAGGUC
rnacentral:rRNA from 1 species